ensembl:snRNA LOC120098357 U1 spliceosomal RNA
ACACUUAGCUGGCAUGGGAAGAUACCAUGAUCACAAAGGUGAUUUUCCCAGGGCAAGGCUUGUCCAUUGCACUCCGGAUGUACUGACCCCUGCAAUUUCCCCAAAUGAGAGGAAGCUCGACUACUUAAUUUGUGGUAGUGAGGGACUGUGUUGCACUCUCCCAGA